rnacentral:rRNA from 1 species
GACGAACGCUGGCGGCGUGCUUAACACAUGCAAGUCGAACGGAAAGGCCCUGCUUGCAGGGUACUCGAGUGGCGAACGGGUGAGUAACACGUGGGUGAUCUGCCCUGCACUUCGGGAUAAGCCUGGGAAACUGGGUCUAAUACCGGAUAGGAGCCAUUUUUAGUGUGAUGGUUGGAAAGUUUUUUCGGUGUAGGAUGAGCUCGCGGCCUAUCAGCUUGUUGGUGGGGUAAUGGCCUACCAAGGCGGCGACGGGUAGCCGGCCUGAGAGGGUGGAAGGCCACAUUGGGACUGAGAUACGGCCCAGACUCCUACGGGAGGCAGCAGUGGGGAAUAUUGCACCAUGGGCGCAAGCCUGAUGCAGCGACGCCGCGUGGGGGAUGACGGCCUUCGGGUUGUAAACUCCUUUCGCUAGGGACGAAGCUUUUUGUGACGGUACCUAGAUAAGAAGCACCGGCUAACUACGUG